rnacentral:lncRNA from 1 species
AUUAAUAUCAAUAUAUAUUAUAUAUAUAUUUGAAAAUUGCCCUAAUCUUAGAAACGAUGGCAGUGAUAACUCGGUAAUCAUAGAAAUAUCGGACACUAACAAUGCUGUCGUCGUUUCGGCAAGCAAGAAGUGUGCUGGAGAGGCUUGGAUUGAAUACCUACGUGAAGUCCAAAAGGUGGCAGGUAAUCUAAGAUCAUAAAGUGCACGGUAAGGCAAAUCGCCUAACCUCACGGAUUAAUGCGGCGCAG